rnacentral:lncRNA from 1 species
GAAUCAUGAACCACAAAACAAUCUCAGAUUAGCAUGAAGGCCGGAAACUUAAUAUCAUAAACCUCCCAUAUGACCUCCCCUCAUCCCAGAAUGAAGACAGACGCUCACCAGUCACUCUCUGCCAUCAUGAGUCUUCAAAUGCAGUUAUAUUUUUUGUUUCUUAUUUACCUUUUAUGUAAUGCCAAUAUUAAAGAUUCUACAGGGAUGUUCCACAACAUGAAGCAACAGCAGAGGCUCUUUUGCACAAGCUGCACCUUUUUGCUCAAGAGCAAAUGACUGUGGGAGACAAGAAAGUCUUUGGUUCGGGUACUCGACUUUAUGUGACAGGUCCAGGAAACACGGUUGAGUCACCAAAGGUGUCUGGAUACCUACCGUCAAAGAAAUACAGUGACAAACAUGGCAAACAGACAAUGUUAUGCCAUGCAAGUGGCACGGUUCCUUACUUGGUGAAAUUCACAUGGGCAAAAAAGAGCGAAACAGAAGAAUGGACGGCUGUACCAAAGGAAGAUGUUGUGGAACAGAGUUACAAAGAUAAAAAAAUUGUGACAAGUAUGAUGAUUGUAGAUAAAAACACGGCCGAAAACAACAGCUACCAAUGCACUGUUACCAUUGACGGAAUCACUGAGAACCCCCAAAUUCUUGAAAUGAAGAGAGAAGACAUUAAAACAGCAAAGGGACCUAGCCCAACAUGUCCACCCGACUCUGAGGAUUUGGAUGGAUUUUUUUAA